rnacentral:rRNA from 1 species
UACAGAGGGGGCAAGCGUUAUUCGGAAUUAUUGGGCGUAAAGGGCGCGUAGGCGGCGAUUCAAGUGACGGGUGAAAUCCCUCGGCUUAACCGAGGAACUGCCUGUCAGACUGGAUUGCUUGAGUCCGGGAGAGGCGAGUGGAAUUCCCAGUGUAGCGGUGAAAUGCGUAGAUAUUGGGAGGAACACCAGUGGCGAAGGCGGCUCGCUGGACCGGAACUGACGCUGAGGCGCGAAAGCUAGGGUAGCAAACGGG